UAUAACGUUGAUAAAAGGUUUAGUUAAGGUUGAUGACUUUAAGUGUCGACCAAAGUAUCAUACAAGAUGAGAUUGAACCAACUUUGUAUAGUCCUUUUAGCUAAAAUAAUGACUUUUUAUUUAUAUUAGUUUACUGAUGUUUUUGAAUUAAUUCAAUUAUUACUGUUGCAUAUAUAAAUUAAUCUUUAAAUUGCGAUAAAAUAUUAUAAUUACUCGAAACGGAUAUCUUUUUCUGAUUGGCGCAUGCGUAUGAGGCCGACAUUUCGAAUUUAUUUGCGCCAAUUUGAUUACCACAUCAAGUUAACAGCUGCUCUCAGCAGUGCAAAAUGUCUUACAAAUAAACCCGUGUCGGAAAUUACAUAUUACCGGGUAUAAAGAAUAAACAUGUCUUCGGUGAUUCAGGCUAGUUUGAAAUAAUAAGAAAAGCUGUAGUUACAAGUGACUAAUGUGCAACAGAGACCACAAUAUGGAACUACUGUGCAAGAUACCUAAAAUAUGCCCCUGUUAUAUCUGGGAAUGUGUCUAGUAGUAGGACUAAACUUUUAAAUAAAAUUAAUUGUUCA